rnacentral:rRNA from 1 species
UACGUAGGGCGCAAGCGUUGUCCGGAUUUACUGGGCGUAAAGAGCGUGUAGGCGGCCACGCAGGUCCGUUGUGAAAACUGGAGGCUCAACCUCCAGCUGUCGACGGAAACCGUGUGGCUAGAGUCCGGAAGAGGAGACUGGAAUUCCUGGUGUAGCGGUGAAAUGCGCAGAUAUCAGGAGGAACACCGAUGGCGAAGGCAGGUCUCUGGGCCACUACUGACGCUGAGAAGCGAAAGCAUGGGGAGCGAACAGG